AAAAUCUUUUUGAAAAUCAACAUAUAGCAUACAAUUUCUUUUCACAGACAUAUAAACUAAAAUAGUUAUUCUUUAAACUGAAUAAGCUAAAUUCUAUAGCUUAAAAUCCGAUGAUACUAUCAAAACUAAAAUAUACUAUAAUCAUAAACAUCUUUAUUCUGUAUACUGCAUUUCUCAAAUCUGAUAAGCUAUGUAAUACUGAAACAUCCCACCAAAAAUGUACUCGGAAUAACCAUACUCGUGAAUCGAUUAAUCUCGAUAUACAUAGCAAGGUUAUUCAAUUCUGAAAUUAUGUAAUUCUGGUCGUACGCGCGCAGAGCUAUAAAAUGGUCAUACGCUAUGGAAACACAUUCACAAUAGUGCAGAGUGGGUAAAAUCACUAUACUGAUCAUAUACUGUGGAAACACAUUCACACCAGCGCAGAGUGGGUAAAAUAACCAUAUGAAGUCAUACACUAUGGAAACACAUUCACACCAGUGCAGACGAGGGUAAAAUCACUUGGGUACUUUCAGGUGGUUUUAAAAUAACUUUGAAUAUACUGAAAUAUUUAAUACUAAAAUAACAUGCUAAUACAAUGAUUUAAUAAAUUGAAUUUAACUUUUAGAAACAACCGGUUAUAAAUCAACUUUAUUCUGAAAAUCGUGUUGUCAAAUCGACUGUAUGAAUUAAUAAAUUUUCUGAGUUAAUAUAAAUUAAAUAAAUACUAAUUUCUGAAAAAUAAGCUUAUUCACUCACAUAAUACAAGCUGAACCUAAGAUGGUGAUAGGCUCUCCCAAUCUCCUCUUCACCACCUGGAAUACAUAACAAGAUGACUAAUCAACCACUAUUAAAUUAAGAAACUUUACGAUUUACUUCUAUAAUACUUAACUAAAAUUGGUCGAUGCUCGAAUGAAUUUCCCAAAUAUUCUUUUGAUCAAUUGGAGCUAAUCCCACUUUCUAAUCCAUUUUCUUGAAGGUUCGAAAGGGUAUCCGGGUUGUACUAGAGGGACGAAGGAAAUCUCAGUUGUACAUCUUGUAGGGGAGCGCAGAACCAGUUCAGAGACAUUUGGACAAGUUCAGUACUGUGGUGGACAUUCAAUUUGGUACAGUACCUCUCGGGUUUGGCUCUGGGUCAGUUAAGAACUUUGCUCAAGGAAGUGUUGGUGAUUCCGCUUUACCACCAAUUUUAACGGGUACACUGUGUUCUUGUAAUGCCAAUGGACUCAUGGAGCGUAGAUGCAGUUUGAGAUGUCUGUAAUGCUUUAGAAAUCAUUGAAGGUGACAAUAUUGGCAAGCGACCUUCUGAUUGUGCAUUUGGUGUUGUUUGUGCUAAAGGGUGUGCUUCGAUCCUGUCCAGUGAUUGUUAAUUCCGGGAGGAAUUUUGGGAAACCGGGUUUGGGUUCAGGUUUCGCUUGUGGACGCAGGGGGGGAACGUGUUAUCGUGGAGAGUUUGGUUACUGUGUUGAGGAGUUUGGUUAUUCUGAUGUAGACGGAUUAUUUCUUAAGGUAGAGAAAUUUUGGAAUUUCGUUCGUUGCACCGGAUUUUAAGUCAAGGUGGAGAUUGUUGAAUUUGUGCCUCAAAAUAAGGAAAUAUUGAAGAUUGCGUGUGAUCCUUAAACUUGGAAAUAUCAAAGUGGCAGACAAAAGGAAAUGGGAUCAAUUGGUAUCCAAAUCCAAGACACGUUAAUAUGGAAAGAAUCAAAGGAAUAAGGAAGAAAAAUAUGUGUGCCGUGAGCAGAUUUUUUUUACAUGUUUUUUUCCUUUUAAUUUCCAUCUUUUGCCAAGACUCAUGUAUUAUAAAUAUAGGACUCCUCUUUCAGUAUUGUUUAAGCCAUUAUUGUUGUAAUUCUCUCAUUUCAUAGAUUGAAUAAAAUAACAUCGUUCUUCUGC
rnacentral:lncRNA from 1 species